AUUAUUUGUCGAAUCAUUGAAUGCUCAAAUAUUUGUUAUUUGAGUCUUAUGAUACUGUUCUUUUGUAUAGGAAGAUCUGAUGC